AUGCAAGUCGAACGGUAACAGGCAGGAGCUUGCUUCUGCGCUGACGAGUGGCGGACGGGUGAGUAACGCGUGGGAAUCUACCCAGUAGCGGGGACAACUCGGGAAACUCGAGCUAAUACCGCAUACGCCCUUAGGGGGUAAAGGCUUCGGCCACUAUUGGAUGAGCCCGCGUCCGAUUAGUUUGUUGGUAGGGUAAUGGCCUACCAAGACUACGAUCGGUAGCUGGUCUGAGAGGACGAUCAGCCACACUGGGACUGAGACACGGCCCAGACUCC
rnacentral:rRNA from 1 species